rnacentral:rRNA from 1 species
CCUACGGGUGGCAGCAGUGGGGAAGAUUGCACAAUGGGCGAAAGCCUGAUGCAGCAACGCCGCGUGAGAGAUGAAGGCAUUCGGGUCGUAAAGCUCGGUACUCAAGGAAGAGAAUGACGGUACGUGAGGAGGAAGCCCCGGCUAACUACGGGCCAGCAGCCGCGGGAAUACGGACGGGGCUAGCGUUAUCCGGAAUGACUGGGCGUAAAGGGUGCGUAGGUGGUUUCUUACGUCCGAUGUGAACGGCUACGGCUCAACCGUAGGAAGCCUUGGAAACUGGGGAACUUGAGUGCAGGAGAGGCUAGUGUACUUCCUCGUGUCGCGGUUACAUGCUUAGAUCUUCGGCGGCACACCAGUUGCGACGGCGGCUCUCUGGACUGUACCUGACACUGCUGCACG